CCUGCCUAAAGGAUCACUUUCAGCCACAGUUUCCUCAUCGGUGCAGGUCUCGCUUGCGUUCUUGCCAAGAGUCGAGAAAUGACGUCAUCGAAAACAGAAAUGUGUCCCUAACCCGAUGCGCUACAACAACAAACGAUAGCCCCGCCUUAAUUGGACUAACGUGCCUGAGCGGGUGACGCGGUUCCCUUAAAUCAGUGUGCGCCAACCAAAAUGUAAAAAUAAAUAUAUAAAUAAAUAGGCAUGGGACAUAUUUGAAGGCGGAGCCACUCACCCCACUUCCUCUUGGUAAAAUACGAGUCGGCUGCCGGGUCGUUGAAGUGUCGGCUGAACAUGGUUUCUGCGCCUGCGUGGAAGUCAUAGGAGAACACCAAAGCUGGUGGGAGAAAAAAAAAUAAAGGUUUAAAUCAGUUUAAUUAGUAGAAAAAAAAUAAAAAAACAACAA